rnacentral:sRNA from 1 species
GAAAACUUAAACAUUAAACACACAUAUACCGACACAUGAUGCGGGGUGCUCAGAAAGAGUCGCAGCAUGGGGUAUAUGGAGGCUUAAC